GGUCGCCUCGCUCGCUUCUGCUGACCACCGCCACCUCCACCCCCGUCGACGCCGUGGCGGACGCGGUGAGUCCCAAGCCGCGGGACACUGGGCGUGGCCACCCCGUCGGAGCGACAGGAAGAGCAGGGCCGCGGGAGCCGUCGACAGCUCUGGCCCGCCCCCAAGCUGACCUCCGCCCCCAGGCGAGCUCCGGUUCCGCCGCCCCGUAAUCCGCUCGAGUCGCGCCUAACGCCAUGGUUUAUUGCAGGUGGAGGUGGAGUACGUGCCGGAGAUGCCCGACCUCGGCGCCGACGACCCCCUCCCCCUCGACGCCUUCGCGGCGGCCCCCGCCCCCAGGCGAGCUCCGGUUCCUCCGCCCCGUAAUCUGCUCGAGCCGCGCGCCUAAGGCCAUGGCGGCGAGAGCAUGGGCGGUCGCGGUGGUGACGACUAGCUCGAAGAGGAGGAGUCCGCCACUAUGAGGACCUUGUUCAACAACACUACUCGGGCCUCCAGUAAUGGCAGGUUGGGGAUAUCUGAGAUGUGUCCUCUCCGCCUCCAGUAAAGAUUUUGUGUGAUUGUUUGUUUUGCAAUAUAUUAGGCAGUGUUAUUUCUUCAUGUUAUUAGCUGCCCAUUUGAGACAUGAACAAAAGAACGACGGCGAUGCACAACCCUACACAGCGCCACUCGUUGUCAUCUUGUCGGUCAAGUAGGCGCAUCGGCGGCUGCUGCACGCCUCCACCAUGGAAUCAAAUGGGAAUUCUACUAUACAGGAUUAUAACAGGGGGAAAGGAUAAGGGAGAAGGGGACUCUAUGAAGAAAGAACAAGAAGGUGUCCCUGAAAAAUAAGCAGCUGGAGAACAACAAGUUUAUUGUUGACUUUCUAGAGAAAAUGUCGUAACAACUGAGAAAAUUGCUGGUGAGAACAUCACACAUGUUCUUAUAGUUUUUAAAUGAAAAACUUUUAUGUUUAUCUCUUUUUUACUAGAAUAGUAGAUAAUGGGGCAUAGACAUUUGAGAAGGCUUAGUGCAAUUAAUCCCUUUAUCUUGCAGUACUUUACACAUGGGUUCCAUUAUCAGAAUAGGAGGGCCUAGCAGUACAAAAUCAAGGCUCUGUACUAUAUUGUUGGACAAAGAUGAGUUUGUCAAUAAUUUGGCAAUGUGGUGUCGAGGUCUUUGCCCAUGAGGUUACACCUUCAAGGGUGACAUUGAAGAAGCAUUCAAAUGCAUAGAUAUAAGAGAAGAUCAACUUGCACGUACAAGUUGUGUUGCAGACGACGGGGCCAUGCGGUUGAAUGUGUCUGGUCAAGUUGACCAAGAAGCAUGAUAUCAUUAACAAGAUGUUCACAAAAUUUCUUCAAAGUUUAUUUGAUGGUGUGGCAUAUUUUUUUCUGGUUAAGUUUUCUGUAUAUUUCUAUAUUUAUUUGUACAAACUGGAAGCUACAGAUGAACUUCAUAUAUACUCUGCCAACUUCGUUCAAUAAGAUCAAAGUAUGCAAUA